rnacentral:rRNA from 1 species
UUCGGGUGUCGCUGAUGGAUGGACCCGCGGUGCAUUAGCUAGUUGGUGAGGUAACGGCUCACCAAGGCCACGAUGCAUAGCCGACCUGAGAGGGUGAUCGGCCACAUUGGGACUGAGACACGGCCCAAACUCCUACGGGAGGCAGCAGUAGGGAAUCUUCGGCAAUGGACGAAAGUCUGACCGAGCAACGCCGCGUGAGUGAAGAAGGUUUUCGGAUCGUAAAACUCUGUUGUUAGAGAAGAACAAGGAUGAGAGUAACUGUUCAUCCCUUGACGGUAUCUAACCAGAAAGCCACGGCUAACUACGUGCCAGCAGCCGCGGUAAUACGUAGGUGGCAAGCGUUGUCCGGAUUUAUUGGGCGUAAAGCGAGCGCAGGCGGUUUCUUAAGUCUGAUGUGAAAGCCCCCGGCUCAACCGGGGAGGGUCAUUGGAAACUGGGAGACUUGAGUGCAGAAGAGGAGAGUGGAAUUCCAUGUGUAGCGGUGAAAUGCGUAGAUAUAUGGAGGAACACCAGUGGCGAAGGCGGCUCUCUCGUCUGUAACUGACGCUGAGGCUCGAAAGCGUGGGGAGCAAACAGGAUUAUAUACCCUGCUAGUCCACGCCGUAAACUAUCAGUGCUAACUGAUGGACGGCAUUCCGCCCUUCAGUGCUGCACCUAACACAUUAAAAACUCCGCCUGGCGAGUACGACCGCAA